AAAAUUCUGAGUACACACAGAGGAUGGACAGACAAGAGCCAAGAGGGAAAUCAUGAGAUGUGCUGGUAUGCUGCUGUGCAAGGGGAGCAGAGCAACUCAAAAAGGCACAACCGCUUGUAAAAGCAGGAAAGCAGGCAACAGGCUGCUGCAGCUGCUGCAGAAGGGCAGCCAGGCAGCUGGAAGCUGCAGACAGAAUGAGGUCACCCUCCCCCCUCGCAGCAUCAUCCU